rnacentral:lncRNA from 1 species
CGGGGAAGUUUGGCCUUUAAAAAUCAAACUGCCAUGGACACUGCUUUACCCAAAAUUUUGGUUCAUAUUCUUCACUGGAUUAACUAUUGGGGCAAACAACGUAUAACCAUGUAAAACCAGUACGCUUGUAUUGGCAUUUCAUGGCUAGAGUUCUAAGUCACAAGCACCUCUUCGGCAAAGCCCACCUCCCUCUCUCGCUUGAUUCCCCGGCCAUCCUUAUCAAAGACCUUCCAGGUGAACAGGCAGCCAUCCUCAGCAGCAGUCAGCAGGAACUGAUCAUCAAAGAAAUGAGGAUAAAAUAAAGUCAUUUUCAGACAAAAACUGGGAGAAUUUAUUAAUACAUUAUCAGUAAAUGCAGAAGGAAAAUGAUCCCAGCUGGAAUAUCUGAUUUGUAAAGAGUAACGGUGGGAAAAAGUUUGACAGGGUCUUGCUUGGUUUCCCAGGCUGGAGUGCAGUGGCGCGAUCUUGGCUCACCACAACCUCUGCCUCCUAGGUUCAAGAAGUUCUCCUGCUUCAGCCUCCCGAGUAGCUGGGACUACAGGCACGUGCCACCACGCCCAGCUGAUUUUUGUAUUUUUAGUAGAGACGGGGUUUCACUAUGUUGGUGAGGAUGGUCUUGAUCUCUUGACCUCGUGAUCUGCCCACCUUGGCCUCCCAAAGUGCUGGAAUUACAGGCAUGAGCCACCGCACCCGGCCAGAUGUCAAUUUUUAUUGCCCCUAAUCAACACUGUCUGGAGGUGCUUACCAGCACAGUGAUUUCCUGAAGGAAAUAUAAUGAUCUGUUCAUCGAAGUAGAAGAUAUUGUUGGCCACGUGGGAUCGAAGACCAAAAACAUGCAGCGUCUGAGCUACCACGGCUGACAUGAUCUCCCGCCAAAGAGUUCUGCUGAAGACCAAGGCAGCACUUCAGAGUGGAGAGCACCGCCCCGCUCCGACCCCGCCCCCGCCCGGACACGCCCCG